rfam:Schistosoma curassoni strain Dakar, Senegal genome assembly, scaffold: SCTD_scaffold0008128
AUCAACUGACGAGUCCCAAAUAAGAGGAAACAUGCGUCGUGGAU